rnacentral:rRNA from 1 species
GAUGAACGCUGGCGGCGUGCUUAACACAUGCAAGUCGAGCGAAGCACUUUGGAAAGAUUCUUCGGAUGAUUUCCUUUGUGACUGAGCGGCGGACGGGUGAGUAACGCGUGGGUAACCUGCCUCAUACAGGGGGAUAACAGUUAGAAAUGACUGCUAAUACCGCAUAAGACCACGGUACCGCAUGGUACAGUGGUAAAAACUCCGGUGGUAUGAGAUGGACCCGCGUCUGAUUAGGUAGUUGGUGGGGUAAUGGCCUACCAAGCCGACGAUCAGUAGCCGACCUGAGAGGGUGACCGGCCACAUUGGGACUGAGACACGGCCCAGACUCCUACGGGAGGCAGCAGUGGGGAAUAUUGCACAAUGGAGGAAACUCUGAUGCAGCGACGCCGCGUGAGGGAUGAAGUAUUUCGGUAUGUAAACUUCUAUCAGCAGG